UGCAUAAUGUUUUUUUUCAUGGAAGAUUAGAACUCAAGUCGGUCGUUACGAAUUCCAUUUUCGUAAUAUACUAAAUACCUCGGUCGCUUCGAAUUUCUGAGCCCUUGAAAAAAACCUGACUCAUUGGUAAUUUAUCGGUACAAAAAUAAGGACUUAUUAGCCAUGCCUUGAAAAUUUUGAUCGGACAUAGCGAUUUAAAAAUCUUUCCGCCAUUGACUUUGACAUCAACAAAUUUCGCAGUUUAUUUUCGUCGUUUUGUAGCUUACACCGUCUCGGCUGUUAUCCAACACACUCUUGAAAACUGACUCCGAAGUUGGUAAACCGAAAGCAGGCAAAAUGGAGUUAUCUUUUCGUAUUCUUGGUUAUUUAACCUUGCUCUGUUACUUACUACACCAUACGAAUGCUGUCAAACCAGUAUUUCAAGACUCUACUCCUUCUGUAAUAACAGAAGGAUUACCACCAGGUACAUUUUACUACAAGUUCGUAGCAACUGAUGCAACUCCAGGACAUGUUGUUACGUACAGUCUUGAGUCUAAAGCAAGUGAAUGGUUCAACAUUAACAGCGCUACUGGAAAUGCAACAGUAAAGAAAACUAUUGACAGAGAGGCGAUGGGGAGCACGUUUAGAUACAAAGUAUUUGCAUCAGACGGCACAAAUACAGGAGAAGCAGAUGUGAUUCAACAGAUCCGGGAUAUUAAUGACAAUCCUCCGGUCUUCAAUAACCUGCCGAAGAGUAUCAACAUUAAAGAGGAUACCUCUGUAGGUUCAUUAGUGUUUACAGUGAGUGCAACCGAUGAAGAUUCAUCCCCUGCUAAUGCCUUCGAAUUUGCCAUUGAAACUGGUAAUGAGGAAGGAAGAUUUGAAUUCCCUAAUCCCGCUGAUGGCCAAAUUAAACUGAAGAAAUCUCUCGACUAUGACGAUGGUACAAAACAGUUCGUGUUUCGAAUUAUCGCAAAGAACACCCUUUCCAGUCCUUAUCUAAAUUCUACAGCAGUGUUGACCAUCAACGUUCUGGAUGUGGAUGAUUUGGGUGCGAAGUUUGAGAAGAAUUUGUACGAAACAACACUAGCCAAAGAUUCUCUGCCGGGUACCGUAGUGACGACUGUCCAGGCUAAAGACAGGGAUAGUUUUAACGCUACUGUAGAAUACAAAAUAUAUCAAGAAACUAAUCCUGGUAACGUGUACAAGGUAAAUAACAACACAGGAGAGAUAACAGUCAAUGGACCGCUGACUAUUGGAACUCAGCUACUGGUCGUUACGGCCACCUCGACCAAACACCCUCCUGCAUUCACCGUAGUCAAAGUGAAUGUGGCUUCAAUGCUCAACAAGUCGUACACUGUCAGUGUUGCUGAAGGACAAAGUAAUGUGGUUAUUUUCAAUUUGGAACCUGUAGAACGGUACUACAACAUCACCGGAGGAACGUUCUCUAUCAUAUCUAGUGCACAAUCUAGUCUCUUCUCCAUAGACGGCAAAAACCUAAAAGUUGGAGGAGCAGCGUUGGACAGAGAGACUCGAGACCAAUACCAACUGAAUAUUGUGGUAGAUAAAGAUGGUACAAGAAAAGGAGUGGUUAUGGUUACCAUCAAUGUACUGGACAUCAAUGACAACACGCCGUCAUUCCAAGGUGAUCUCCCUUACAAUGCUUCAGUGAGAGAAGAUGCCGAUGUAGGACACAGUAUAUUGAGGGUAACAGCAACAGAUGUGGAUGAGGGUUUGAAUGGUACUGUGAAGUAUGCCCUUAAAGGAGUAGAUCAACCAGACCUUUUCUCCAUCGAAAACGCAACUGGAUUAAUUACUUUAGCUGGCAAACUAGAUCGUGAGACAAUGGCUCAGUACACUCUGACUAUCCAGGCCUAUGAUGGAGGAUCUCCUCCUAAGACCAACAUUACUACUGUCAUUAUCAACGUACUAGAUGUUAACGAUAACCUGCCGGUUUUAAACCAAACUUCCAUUUCUAAAGUUGUUCCUGAGUGGGCAACGAAUGGGACAGAAGUGGCAGUGGUAUCAGCCACAGAUGCAGACAGUGGAGACAAUGGCAGGAUUACAUACGUCAUACAGGAAGGAGCUGAUGACAAGUUUGUUAUUGACCCUAACACCGGUGUUAUCACCACCACAGGAGGGUUAAGUUACACGACUAAACCCAUAUACACGCUUGUUGUGAAUGCCCGUGAUAACGGUUUACCACCAAGAUCUGCUACAGCUACUGUACAUGUUAACAUCGAACCAAGAACUAACAAAUCCUACACAGAACAAGUCACUGAAGGAGCAGCAAACGUUGAUGUUUUAAGUUUGUUGAGCGUAGAAAAGGAUUACAAAGUUUCUGGAGCAUCGUUUUCUUUUAUAUCUGGUAAUGACGACAACCACUUCUUGAUUGAUGCUGCAAACAAAGUGCUCAAAAUUGGUUCACAACCACUGGAUAGGGAACUUCGAAAUGAAUACCGACUUGAAAUCCAAGUCGAAAAAGAUGGGAUAAUCAGAGGAGUUGCGACGGUUACUAUACUGGUGCUGGAUGUCAAUGACAACUCUCCGUCAUUCCAAGGAACCAUUCCUUAUGAUGCGAGCAUUAAAGAAGACGCUGGUAUCGGCGCAAACAUUGUUAAAGUUCUGGCAAAAGACAGUGAUUCUGGACUUAACAGUACUGUGAAAUAUGCCAUCACUGCGGGAAACGACCAAGGCUCGUUUUCCAUGGACAACAAGACCGGACAAAUAUCUUUGUCUGGUAGCCUUGACCGAGAAAAAACUGCUCAGUACACUCUGACUAUCCAGGCCUAUGACGGAGGGACUCCUCCAAUGACCAACACUACUACUGUCAUUAUCAACGUACUAGACGUCAACGAUAACUCACCGGUGAUGAAUCAGACUUUACUUUCCAAAACCCUUUCUGAGUGGGCAACGAAUGGAACAGAAGUGGCAGUGGUAUCAGCCACAGAUGCAGACAGUGGAGAAUAUAGCAGGAUUACAUACGUCAUACAGGAAGGAGCUGAUGACAAGUUUGUUAUUGACCCUAACACCGGUGUUAUCACUACCACUGGAGGGUUAAGUUACACGACUAAACACACAUACACGAUCAUUGUGAAAGCUCGUGAUCACGGUUCAUCGCCACGCUCUGCGACAACGGUCGUGUCUGUUAGCGUUGAACCCAAGACUAACAAAACCUACACAGUACAAGUUACUGAGAACAGACCAGAUGAAAUUGUGAUGAGUUUAGUGGUCGUGGAGCAAGACUACAACAUCAUUGGAGCAAGUUUCUCAAUUUCAGCUGGCAAUAACGAUGAUCAUUUCAAAAUUGUUGGAAAAGAUCUUAAAGUCGGCGCGAAGCCACUGGACAGGGAGAUUAAGAAAGAGCAUGUGCUCCGAGUCACACUCGUUAAAGAUGGCAAAGUUAGAGGAGUCGCAAUGAUAAUUGUCAACGUACUUGACGUGAACGACAACUCGCCUGCAUUUCAAGGAUCCAUUCCUUAUAGCGUUGACGUAAAGGAAGACACUAUGAUUGGUGAUAUCAUUCUGAAGGUUAACGCAACGGACAGUGAUAGCGGUAACAAUGGUACAGUUAUAUAUUCCAUAACUGGGGGCAACGGAGAAGACCGUUUCUCCAUCGAAAACACAACUGGAAUAAUAACUUUAGCUAGCGAACUAAACCGUGAGACAACGCCUCAGUAUACUCUGACUAUCCAGGCCUAUGAUGGAGGAUCUCCUCCUAAGACCAACACUACUACUGUCAUUAUCAACUUACUAGACGUCAACGAUAUCUCACCAAGCUUUAGUCCUAGAGUAAUGAAUGUGGUUGUUUCUGAGCGGACCUCAAAUGGUGUCCAGAUCGCACAAGUAACAGCUAAAGAUUCAGAUAUAGGCGAAAACAGCAGAAUUAACUACAGCAUCGCGGAAGGCAAUGAUGGGAAAUUUGACAUUGAUCCAAACACCGGUGCCAUCAAGAUCAUUGGGGGACUGAGUUUCAAAGAAAGAUCCAAAUACAUGUUGAUUAUCGAUGCUAAAGAUAAUGGGUUGUCUCCUCGUACUGGGUCAGCUAUUGUCUACAUCACGAUCACAAGCGCUGGGCAGAAUUUGCAUUCACCUGUUCUUAAGAAAACUGAUUACCUGGGAGGAGUAUACAAGGAUACCAGCGAUGACCAGCUUAUUCUAACUGUCUCAGCUACAGACGCAGACAGUGGUGCAAACGGGGAAGUCAUAUACGAGCUCACAGAAAAUCCUGUCCCAUUCCUUUUCCACCUGGAAACUGUCUCUGGACGUCUGCGCAGUGCAAACUCGUUUGUAGAUAAAGAGGGAGAACUUUAUAUAUUUAAAGGUAGAGCCAAAGACAAAGGGAGUCCACCUAAAAAUUCAACAGAGGCAAAUUUAUGUGUUUUUGUUCUCCGAGAUUCUCAUAGUCUGAUUAUCACAGCUGAUGUCAGUCAAGAUUUCAUCCUGAAAAACGACGAAGAAUUCCGAGGUGUCCUUGAUGAUUUGACUGGAGGAAAGGCUUUCAUUAAGUCAGUCAGACCUAUAGGAGGAAAAACCAAUUCGUCGGAGAUUAUUUUUAAUGUUGUCAAGAACAAGACGGAGUCGACAUCUGAUCAAAUUCAUGAGUCACUAAAAAGAAGAGAGGAUGACAUUAAAAACAAGUAUAGCAAAUGGAACAUAAGAACCUAUGAGCUUCCCAAAACGGGGAAGCAGAUCUCAAAAGGUGGCUUAUCAGCUAUAGUCGGAGCCAUGAUAUGCCUGGCUUUACUGAUUGGUGUUGGUGGAAUUAUUAUGAUUAUUAUUCUCAUAAAGAAAAGACGCGAGCGAGAGAGAAUUCGAAGAAAUGCAAGAGUUACUUUCAACGACGAGCCACACUACAAGAGGCACAGAGGACGCUUGUCGAGCCGUGUAUCACCCACCUCCCUGGUUUCCUCCAAUAACCAUUAAUAUCGAUGGUAAUAUGCCCGUCAGUAGGUUGAGACACGCCGAGUCUGCACAGGAUCAAGCACUAAAUCCGGCACAGAACAACACCAAUUUAAAAGAACUUAAAUUACACUUUAAGAAUAUAAGAGGUUCUC
rnacentral:misc_RNA from 1 species